GCCCAAGUGGCGGAAUGGUAGACGCGCUCGUUUCAGGUGCGAGUGCUGAGAGGCGUGCAGGUUCGAGUCCUGUCUUGGGCACCA
rnacentral:tRNA from 1 species